GGUGCGGUGUCCGAGCGGCCGAAGGUGCAACGCUGGAAUCGUUGUGUAGGGCAACCCCCUACCGUGGGUUCAAAUCCCACCCGCACCG
rnacentral:tRNA from 1 species